UUUAAGUGCAACCAUAAGUUUCCGUGCCCAACUUUGAUCGUCCGUCUUAUUUGAAAAUUUUUUAUAAUUAGCAUUUUUGUUGUUAUGAGAUGAUAAAACAUAAAUAGUACUUUACUCGUGACUUAUGUUUUUAAUUUUUUUUUUAAAAAAAAUUUCAAAUAAGAUGAACGGUCAAAGUUGAGCGCGGAAAACCAUGGCUGCACUUAAA
rfam:Oryza barthii chromosome 6, whole genome shotgun sequence.